rnacentral:rRNA from 1 species
ACUGAACGCUGGCGGCAGGCUUAAAACAUGCAAGUCGAGCGAGCGGCGGAUGGGUGAGUAAUGUCCGGGAAACCGCCUGACGGAGGGGGAAAACUCCUGGAACCGGUAGCUAAUACCGCAUACCAUCAGAUGUGCCCAGAUGGGAUUAGCUAGUCGGUGGGGUAAUGGCUCCCCUAGGCGACGAUCCCUAGCUGGUCUGAGAGGAUGAGCAGCAACACUGGGACUGAGCCACGGUCCAGACUCCUACGUGAGGCAGCAGUGGGGAAUAUUGCACAAUGGGCGCAAGCCUGAUACAGCCAUGCCGCGUGUGUGAAGAAGGCCUUCGGGUUGUAAAGCACUUUCAGCGAGGAGGCGUUACUCGCAGAAGAAGCACCGGCUAACUCCGUGCCAGCAGCCGCGGUAAUUC